CCACGCCCAUGUCUGUUUUGCCAGCCACGGCAGCGCGAGACACCGAAAACGGAUACUUAAAGAGUUUAUGAAUGGAAAGUUUACUUUUAAAAAGUUGCCAGAUUGCUCCACUGACGAGACCAAAGUUACCUGUUCUUCUCUCUCUAUGUAUCAUACAGGUAUACGAUGUAUGCCACUGACGCGAUUGUUACUUGUUUGGAACUAUUUUGUGUGGAAGGCUACAGUGUUCUGUGUCCAUAUAAAUAGAGCGGGUGGAGCUUCUCUGUGUUCGUCUGACAGUGACAAUGCGCUGCAGUGGUAGUGACCUAGCAAAAAUAAAACGUCUCCAGUGUUGUCAUCGAACCAAGUGUAGUCAUCCGAAAUGAGGUCUACACAAAACCGUAGAGAGACUUCCGCGCAAGAAGGACCAACACAAUCAA